CAGACGGCUGCGAGGCGCUGGGCACAGAGACGGGGUUUCACCGUGUUAGCCAGGAUGGUCUCGAUCUCCUGACCUCAUGAUCCACCCGCCUCAGCCUCCCAAAGUGCUGGGAUUACAGGCGUGAACCACCGCGCCCAGCUAGAAAUGGCCACUUCUUUCACGUUCUCUUCGACCGCUUUCUGCGGUGUCUGCCCUUUUCCUCCUCCUGCACCUUUUUGUCUCCUAGGGUCGCAUAGCCUUCCAAACAGGCCUGCCUACAGCAUUUUACCUGCAAUUUUACACUCAUUUUAAUAGAAAGGAUGGCUUAUUGUUCAUGAGAGACGUGUACUGUUUUUAACCAGAUGUGUAAUAUCUUCAGUAUAACCUGGAUGUUGUGCAGUGGGAAGUUAUGGAAAGAAUCAGGACACGUGGUUAGGUAGGGGCCCAGGGGCGUCAGACUUAGCUCUUUGUGACAGUGAGCUUCUUGGUUUAAUAAGGAUAUUGGCUCCCUCUGUUCCUGGGGUUUCUGGGAAAAGAUAUGGAACUGAUAUGAAGGUUUUAUUGAAUAUGGCCCACUGAUUUUACAAGUGGAGGUGACUGAGAUAAGCAGAAGGUGAGGCAUGACCUCUGGCUGUGCAUUAUUUGUUCUGAUAUUACAGGAGCCAAGCAUUCCAUUUCCUUCUUUUUAAAGAGCUUUGAUUUCCUCUCACAUCUUCAUGAAGAUGGAAACAGUGCCCCCACUUACUUAUCCUCAGGCCACACCUGUUCCCAUUUAUUCCAUGAGUUCCUCCCACACCCUUCUGGUUGAUGUUGGUUGUGAUGGUCGAGGUAAUUGAAUCUCACAUUUGGCACCAGUUAUUUCUGUUUCUCAUCUCCCCCCUACCUGCAGUUAAACAUCAGCUGCUAUACUUAACUGUUCAAAGUACAGAUGUUACCUGUGUUGGGUGUAAUCAAAAGAUUAUCUCUUUUCCUC
rnacentral:lncRNA from 1 species